CUGCAUUGGUGGAUAUGAUUGUAAUGGAUGCACAACCAUUUUCAAUGGUUGGAGACAAGGGCUUCAAGGCUUUUGUCAACCUUUUGGACCACUCCUACAUAAUUCCUAAUAGGAAGGCCUUGAGGACAAUGGUGGAGGAAAAGUACAAAGCCUAAAAGGAGAAGGCCUUAGCUGUGGUUAACAGGGCCUCUGCUGUCAGCCUGAGAGCAGACAUGUGGACAUCAAUUAACAUGGAUGCUAACUUGGCUGUAACAUGCCAUUUUAUCACUGAGGAGGUAGUUAUCCCCUGCUUUGAUUUAUGUAUCUGUUUGGUUUUGUUCAUUCUAGGUGGAGCUGGCCUCUGUGGUCUUGGGGUUGUUAAGUUUCUCCAAACCCACACUGCAGCUCACUUGGCUUAGGCACAUAAUGUGUUUUGCACAUAUGCUUAAUUUACCGCGGUCAAGUGAGCCGACAUCUGCGGAAGUGCGGUCACGCCAGCCGUCACUGACUUUUAGCAUGCGCGUUUACAUCAUAGUUUACGGUGCACACGCCCAGCGAGCUGGAAAGACUGUAUAAAGCGCUAAUAUCACCUAUGUCACAGUUACUCAUGAUCAAAUAACAUGUACUGUGCUCAGAAAUCAAUGAGAGACAUUGCAGCUCUAUAUUGUCAUUUGAUGUGCAGAUUUAUUCAUUCAUGUUGCAUGUCUGACCAUUCUAUAAUGAACUACCAACAAUAAUGUGUUUGUUUGAAAUGUAUGCAAUCAGACAGAUUCUAAAAGUGAGUGUGAACAUUAACAAGAGUGUUUUGUGUGUUGUUGAGCAUGGCAUGGAUUUGAAUGGAAUGAAACAGAAAUAAAGAUUCUCCAUGUAAAAGAUCACAUCA